GAAGAGAAAAAGUGUGGAAAAGAAAUCCUCAUGCAGUAGACUUGUGCAAAAGUCCUUGUUGUCCGAUGAUAUAAAUAAAGAGAUCCUCAGUUGCUUUUAAUUUCAUACUUUUAUCUCCUCUUCAUUUCGUACAUCCUUUGGUCUUUCAGUAAUUUGCUAAAAGGUAAGGAAAGAAUAGGCCCAGAGAGUCAGAUGUGAAGCUCUGGGGCGGAGAGAGUCCUCCAAUGGAAAGUAGAGUUCAACAGGCGGACCUCCUCUUUAACUCAUUUCUUUCAUAUCCCAUAUAACACAAAAUGUAAUGAAGAUGUAUCAAAAAUGUAUCAAAUAACUCUGUCAUUUUCUUUCUUCUCAUUCCCCGUCUUCUCCCACCUUACAGUUUCUGCUUUGUCUCAUUUUCCACCUCUUUAGUUUGAGCUUCUUUUCUUUCUCGGCCUCUUGUCAAAUAGGACAUCUUCUAAUAUAUUUCAUCUGAAACAGGGAUUUGGAAAGGCAAUGCAAAGACAAGGCUUGAGCGUCCAAGGUGUCGAAAAGCAGAAGAGGAACAUGUACGCUGAUGGAUAACAGUUGGAUUGGGAAUAACAAGAAAAGAGUAAGUGGCUGGCAGGCUAAAAGGAAGAGGAAAAAUUAGAAAGAGCUGGAGGGAAGACUGCCCUGUCUCUGUGGGACAAAAACAAAAGGCAGUUUCAUUCAAGUGUGAUUUCAAAAUCGUUUAUUUAAAGCUGUCUCCAGGGUGGUCCCACUCGGACAGCGUUAGAGAGAAAAAAUAUACGUUUGUCUCUGUGUAAAUACAUGAUUCAAUUAGAGAAGUGAAGAGCAAAAUAAAAGUAUAAAAAAUGUAAAAAUAAAAUUAUAUUCUAUUAUUUUUUCAUCGCUCAAAAUAAGAGUCACACUCGCGGAAGCCGGUAUACCCGCCGAAACGCCGUGCAUUUAUCGAGACUUUCAACCCCAGGUAGGCCAAUUAUGGAUCUUCGGAUCCACAUUAUGUCAGCAGCUGUUCUCCACCGUGAACUAUGUUAAAGACAAACACCGUUCACGCCUGACAGAUGACAGUCCUGCGUAAACUGACUUCGUAUAGCCCCGAUUUGCGGACUCUGUGCGCAGAGGUUCAGGAGCAGAAGUCCCAUUGUAAACAAAUCACGGCAGACCCGACGAUGUUUCCAUGAGCAUGCUUUUGAGAACCUCUUUAUUGACCACUUUUCACACACGGUUGCUGUACGCAUACAGCCGGCUGUAGCUUUUCAGCUCACAGUCCGACAUACACCACCAACAACACAACAGCAUAGAUAACGCAGACGUAAAGGCAGCGAGGCGUGAUUGCGGGUGUCGCUCAGGUGCGUCCGCCUCCCCUGCAGCGGCGCUGCAAACCACGUCCCGCCGCACGCAUUAACCAGGUAAAAUACAUAUUUAGGCAGAAUUUUGCAAAUAUCUAUUUUUCAUUUUCAGCAGCAUAGUGCUUUUUUCCAAUUAUUUUUUAAGAGUCAGGUCAAGGCUCCAACAGCGCAAAGGCGAUAUAAGGGUGGCGGCUCACAACAGUUUUUGUUUGCUACAUGGAUCAUUUUAGUUCAGCUGGGUGUCUUUCCUUUUGUUAUAUUUCUUUAAGAGUUCAAAAUGUGUUGAUUACAUAAAUAUAAUUUAAUUUUCUCUGUAGCACUUCAUGGAUUUCAUAAGCAGCACACCUUAGUUGCUCAGGUGGUAGAGCAGGUCAUCCACUGAUCGGAAGGUUGGUGGUUCGAUUCCUGGCUUCCCCUAGUCUAUAUGCCAAAUAUCCUUGGGCAAGAUACUAACCCCAAAUUGCUCUCCGAUGCAUCCGUCGGAGUAUGAAUGUGUGUGAAUGUUAGCUAUGAAGCACUUAGAAAGAUGUGUUUGUGCGAAUGGGUGUGAAUGGGUGAAUGCACAAGUUGUGU
ensembl:lncRNA